UAUUCAAGUUUAUUUAUUUAUUUUCAUUCAUUAUACAAUUCUGACAUUGCUGUACAAUGUUGUAGAUGAAAAUUUACAUAAAAGCAUUGAAAAUAUUUGUGUAUGUAUAUCGUUUUGAGGCACGAGACCCAAAUAAAAUGAAUCUUGUAUCUGCGUUAGAAAAAAUUCUGAAUCAGAUAUUUGUUCUCAUGUCAGCACAUGCGCAAAGAUCACAACUUGAAAAAUCCAUUAGGAUUACGCGUAAAAAACGUAAAAAAAUAAAUUAAAUAAAUAUCGAAAUUUUUAGUAAGGUAAAUCAAUUAUGUUUUCCUGUAAAAAUACAUAAUAUUAAAUGUUUUUGUAAAAUACGUUAGUCUUUUACACAAUAUUCAUGGUGUACAGUCAAUUUGUGUUUUCAAUUCUUUUACGUAAAUUUUUACCCACAACAUUAUACAGCAAUGUCAGAAUUUUAUUAUGAAUAAAAAUAAAUAAAUAAACUUGAAUAAAUAUGCAAACUUUCUGAUUAUUACAUUUCAUGUAACAAAUAACAUCAUGUUAUUACGUUUCAUGUAACAAAUAACAUAUAACAAUUAAUAUUUUGCUAUUAGAGAUUGCUAAAAAAUUAAUUACAAUUAUAAAUGUAGCUAUUAUAGAAAAAAAAAAGAAUUGGCACUGCGAGUUUUUAAACACCUCUCUUCAUGCGGUCGCCAAGGACAAAAUAAAAAGCGCGUGCUUUAGUCUCUUCAGCCACUGCACUUCAUACUUUAACCUCCUUUAUCGGGUCAAAAAAAUCGAUAUUUUGGAAAUAGUCUUAAUCAAUUGUUACACUAUUCAAGAAUAUUCCCUGAAAAUUUCAAGUUGAUAUCUGCAGUAUUUACAAAGUUACGAAGUUAAAGCGGACGGGUCGGGUGACGAGUUCAGACGGGCCUAGCGACCCUCGGGGGGUCGCAUUUAUACCUACGUUCUCAGAGCGUGUUUAUACUACGUUCGAAAAGUCUUUUGGAAAGGUGUUUAGGCGGUCACACACAGAAUGCAAAUGAAAGUUUUAAUUCUACCAUUUGGCGUUUAUUACCUAAACACAUUCACAGUGGAAAAAAAAUCGUCUGCAUUGCUGCAUCGAUAUUUAACGAAGGCUACAAUGCAGUGUUAAUGAACAAGUUGGAUAUCGAAAUUGGGAUCCAGGCACACAAUUUUGCCAUAACAAAGGACGAGAAGCGAAUAAACAGACAGAACCGCCAAAGCUAUAGCAGCUCAAAAGAGGCAAGAACGGCUCGUAGGAUGGAGAUGAUGGCUCAAAAUGAGUUCUACGAGGAAGCGGAGGGGCUACUUUAUGCAACUGGAAUCGCUGAUUAGCGUGAGACUGCUAUCAAAGUGAAGGACGCUACAAUGUAUACAGCGGAAACACUCCAUAAUCGAAGCGAUAUUAAUAUGGCGUUUGUUUUACUUAUAGUAAAUAUCUUUUUUUUUCUUUUAAAAAAAUUCCUGUGUACUCUUCGAUUGUGUAUUAGAAUGUCAUAAAAAUUUCAAAACGUUUCAAGUUAUUAUAUCCGAGAAAAAAAUUCGUGAAUAUCAUGUAUUUUUCGACCGUGUAAAGAAGAUUUCACCCUUAACCUACCGCGCAAUUGUACUUAACGUACCGCGCAGCAAAUGCCAAACUUUACAUGCAAAUUUCUCUGAAACAAAGGCCCAUGCACUCAAACGCUCUGACACUUUUUAUACCCUCGACCCCCCUUCCCCCUUCGAAAAAAUUAUGGCUCAUCUGAUUUCGUAUUUUUUAAUUCAUAGCACCUCCUUCUUAGUUUACACCGAACAUUUAAUUCAUAUUAAAUUUGUUAUUUGCUACACUAAGCUGGAUUCGUUGGUUAAACGUCUACGAAGUUCAAUUCAGGUUUACGUUAAAGUUAAAAGAUUUAUGUCCGUGCGUGCUUCCUAUAAUCCGCGAAGACACUGAGACUUUAUUAAUCAAAAUACUGGAAGAUUCUGCACAAGCAGACACUGGCCUAAUUUACACCGUUAAAUCGAUUGGUACGCGCAUCAAGUUUGUGUAGAUUAAGCAUUUGAUACACUCUAUUUAUACCAAUCCAUCUUAAAAUAGAUUAGAUUAGUUUUUUAAUCCAGAUUAGAUUAGAUUUUUAAUCCAAAUAAGUUCUUGUUGAUUUUAGAGUGUAAUGGUAUGUAAAUGUUCAACGAUUUAUGAUUAGACAUACGUUCGUGUUUUACUAUUAUAUCUUUGUCUAUCUACUGUCCAAUUCGUACCCUUUUUAUGUGACAAUUUUGUUUUUGAGAUAUGAAUCUUCUAACUUCAACAUGAACGUGAACUGAACUAUCGUAUGUAUUCAACCGGUGAAUCCAACUUACAAGGAAAGCGACAGAGGUAUCCUCAUCCAAUUUUGACGAGCUUUUAAUAUGUUGUAGUACAGAUAAAAAUAAAGGACACGUAUUUUUUUAUACAUGCCCGUUUUCACUUUUAGGGGAUAAACACCCUUUUAAAGAAAAUCGGUUUUUUUUUUUAAGCGUAUAUCUUCGAAACUAUAAGGGUUGGAUUACAAUAACUGUAACCGUAAUAAAUUGGUCAAUCAUAGUCGAUUUAUAGAAAAAUAUUCGACUGUGAUUGGUUAAUUUUUUUGGUAACAGUUUGUUUCAUCCCCUAAAAGUGAAAACGAGCACGUAUAAAAAAAUACGUGUUCUUUAUUUUUAUCCAUACUACAACAUAUUAAAAGCUCAUCAAAAUCGGAGAGAGACACCUCUGCCGCUUUUGUUGUUAGUGCAGCAAAUAACGAAUUUAAAACAAAACAAGUGUGUACAGCAAAGAUUUUUUCAUACGUGUGAUGGUCUGAUACUCGUUGAAUAAUGAAAGAAAAGUAAAUUCUAAGUAUACGAAGAUGUCACAGAUUCGGUAAAGAGUUUGUUUGCGAAAAAAAUAAUAUGCUAUGUAAUUAUUAGGACCUUAACUUAGUUUCUGCCCGCAAAUGUUAGAUGACGAUGUAAUCAGUUCUAGCAGUCAUUACUAAUGCAUGUAGUACUUUUUUCUUAGUUUUGACAUUUUUUGAUAACAUUCAGUCAGCAUACACAAUUAUUUGCGUAAACAACAAUUUUUUUGCUUUAAAAAAUGGAAUGCGAUAAAGUGUUUUUUUGACAUGUGCUUUUGUACUACUUUGAUUUUAAAAAAAGUGUAGCAGAAAUUCAUCGAUUACUUCAAGAAGAUUAUGGUGAUUAUCUUCAUCGCAUACAACAUGUAAAGAGUGGUAUAGAUAAUUCAAAAGUAAUGAUUUUGAUGUCAAUGACAAACCACGCUCAGCCAAAAAAAUUUGAAUUGCUAACAUUAUUGCAUGAAAACUCAGCUCGAACGUUAGAAGAACUUGAAAACGAGCUAGGAGUUACUAAAGCAGCUGUUUCCAAACGUUUAUACGCCAUGGAAAAGAUCCAAAAGGAAGGAAAAUGGGUACCACAUGAAUUGUCUGAAAGUGCCAUUCACAACCGUUUCAGUAUCACGGUUUCCUUGCUUUCCAGGCAAAAAAGAAGAGUUUUUUGUGGCGUAUUGUGAUUGGCGAUAAAAAGUAGAUCUACUACGACAAUCCCAAGUGGAAGAAAUCAUAGGUAGAUCCAGGACAGGACGGGAUCCGAUAGCGCACGGUGCGAUAGCCCACCAACCAAUCAUCUUGACUUAUUUGACCCAACCAAUGAAAAAAUUUUAGGCAUCUGCCGCUGUGAGUGGUGGUGUGCUAUUGGGAUCCCCUCCCCCCCAGAACAACCAUCAACAUCGCAGCCAAAACGGAACAUUCACAGUUAUAAGGUAAUGCUUUGCAUUUAGUGGGAUCAACAAGGAGUGCUGUACUAUAAGCUGCUGAAUCCGAACGAAACUGUUACUGCCAAUGUCUAUAAACAUCAAUUGAACAAAUUGAAUGAUGAGUUGUUGCGAAAAAAGCCAGCAACAGCGAGUAACAGGCGCAAAGUUAUUCUCUUUCGCGAUAAUGCUCGGCCACACACUGGAAAAAUCAUCAACAAAACACUGACGCAGUUCAAAUGGGAAACUCUUCCUCACUCAACGUACUCAUCAGACAUAGUCUUCUGAUUAUCAUUUGUUCAGAUCGAUGCAGCACGGCUUGAGUGGUAUAUGCUUUUUUCCAACAAAUGCUUUUUCUCAGCCUUUUUUGGACGAAAACUAAGUCAAGGUUCUAAUACUUACAGUUACUUGUUUAUAGUUUAUAUUAAUCGAUACUGAGACAGGCCAAAUUAAAUAAGUCUAUGCGUUUGUCAUUUAAAGAUUGCAUUUUAUCAUUAGUUUACAAUUGCGAAUAAUAUGUAUAAUUGUUAGCAAUAAGAACUGACUAUGCUUUCGAGCUUUUAAUGAUUUAUUUUAUAUCAAUUUUUUAAAACCAAUUAUUUUUUUUAACAUUGCCCAUUCCUAAUCACAAUGAUCCCUAAUCAUAAAUAUAAUGAUUAUGCAGAAAACAGUAUGUAUAUAUUAACUUUUAUUCAAUGACCCCAGCAAAUGAGAAAUAAUUAGAUUGAAUAAAUCCGUAUGAAUCAAGUUUUUGAAACGCCGAAAAAGGUAUUGAAUUUCAUAAAAACUAAACACAUUGAAUCCGUUUCCCACACCUUUAUAGAAAUAAACUAUUAGAUAACUAUUAAUAAAACUAUUCCUUGUCGUAGCUUUUUCGCGAAUUAUUGGCAAGAAUUAUUAGUUUAAUAGCAAAACUAUUCCAGAUAACUAUUGGAUUUAACUAUUGAAGGAAGGAUUAUUUGAGCUCAAUAUUCACUACAUCAUUACAAAGUGACUAUUGUAGUGAUUAUUGGGCUCAAAAAUUUACAUACAUAUGUAUGUUAUUUUACAUAUUAAAAUUUAUUUUUGACUUAUUUUAUAUAGGUUUGCAUAGAAAUAUUUUUUGUAUAUCUUAUAAUAUUAUAUAUUUUAUUAAAAAAUUCUGUAAAAAGUAAAAUAUAGAAAAAAGUAUAUAAUAUGUCAACCAAUUAUUUAGUGUUAUUACUUUGCGUGCUUUAUUAAUAAAAUUACUAUUAUUAUUUUAGGCUGUAUAGUAACAAUUAGAUUUUUUUAUUGGGGAAGGGGGGGCUGAUUGGCUCUUGAGGUUCUGGUUCUUGGCCUGUUAUAAGAGGCCGGUUUUACUAGGCGGCUGUCUCCUCGGUUGCUACCGAUUUCGUAUCCUGGGCUGUCGUCAAUUUUCCUUUCCCGCAGUCACUCGACCUAGUAAAUGGUAAGUCAUGUGCGGGACCCUGGUUCUUGUUGCUGGAUCUUGGUGCUGGUGACUGUGGAUAUUGCGUCCCCCGUGUGACUCGAGCAGGGUACGUCUGAGUUGCCUGCGUUGUAUGAGUAGGCUUUCUUGGUGAGGUAUGGCCGGCACGUCGGUAUGCCAAGGUGACACCGGGCGUUUCUUGCGAGAGUCGCCAUCAACCAGGAACACCGACGGUGAUCGAGUUUGUCAUAGUAGCGGCAGUUAAAUCUGCUAAAACCUCCAAGUGAUGGUAGACUCUUUUGAACUCGAUCUCAGGACGGAGUAAGACUCGACGUUGAGGGAGCUCUUGCUUUUGGGUUUAUUGGCAGAACUAGGCUCGAUGCCGUGCUAAAAGGGGGCCUCUACGCUGAAGAAGCAAGACUCGACUUUUGCGGAAGGAGGUGUUCUCAAAGAACGAGACUCGAAUCGGGGGAUUACGAUUUCUUUAUGGUGCCUGGAUAUCGGCCGUGCUGGCCGGCAGAGCUUGCACGGGAAAACCUCUUCAGGUAAAGUCGGAAAGUUAGCUUUGAGUGCUUACUGCUUUGAUCGUGGUGAGCAAAGGCUGAUUUUUCUCGGCUCGCGGAGCCCCUUAUAUUCUCUUUCUGUUCUCACUCGACUCCCGAGUACGGACGCCACGUAGCGGUGGCGCCGCGGAACUAGUCGGAGCACGCAAGAGUAAGUAGUGGCGGCUGGGCGAGUGCACCGUCAGGAGCGUACUUGUGGACGCUACAAUUAUACUGAUAAUUAUUUUACCAACAAUGAUAGAAAUAAUUUUUGUUAAUACUUUGACUACUUAAGACAUUAAUUUUUGGUUUAAAAAACAGUUUCAAAUAGUCAUUGUAAUGUCAAUGAAUAAAAAAUUUUAUUUUGAGUAUUAAUUUUUUGAAUGUGUUGCGAGUGGCGAAGACCACUGUUGACUUAAUGUAACAAUUAAUUAUCAUAAUAAAAAAGUGGCCUAUAUUACACAAUCAAUAUCGGUAACGUUAACACAGCGACACGGUGACCGAUAUUGGGAACACCGAGCAGCAACCCCUUUAGGAGAAGCUGCAAAUUCAGCAAAACCAAGUCGGCCAGAGCUCUGAUAAAAAGAAAGCCGCUGAAGGAUGAAGCGGACUCAGUUACCAGACACGCUGGAGUAUUGCGUUGCGCUCGAAUAUAGUAAAAUCGCUAUUGUUGUAAAACGCGCUAACUUUAAUAGGAGAGAAGUAAGCGAGAAAUAUUGUAAACCAGAACAAAUAAAGCUUUAUUAACAACAA